rnacentral:lncRNA from 1 species
UGCUGUGGGUUUAUCAUAAAUGGCUUGGAUUAUCUUCAGGAAUGUUCCCUCUAUACCCACUUUGGCGAGGGUCUUGAUCAUGAAUGGAUGUUGAACUUUGUCAAAUGCUUUUUCUGCGUCUAUUGAGAUGAUCAUAUGAUUUUUGACUUUUUUUUUUGUUAAUGUGGUGUAUGAUGCUGAUUGAUUUGUGUAUGUUGAACCAUCCUUGUGAACCUGGGAUGAACCCAACCUGGUCAUGGUGUAUAAUUUUUUUGAUAUGUUGUUGGAUUCGGUUGGCUAAGAUUUUGUUGAGAAUUUUUGCAUCUAUAUUCAUCAAUGAUAUUGGGCGAUAGUUUUCUUUUUUGGUGGUAUCUCUGCCUGGUUUUGGAAUGAGGGUGAUGGUGGCCUCAUAGAAUGUCUUGGGAGUAUUCCUUCUUCUUCAACCUUUUGAAAGAGUUUAAGGAGGAUGGGCACCAAUUCCUCUUUAUAUGUUUGGUAAAAUUCACCUGUGAAGCCAUCUGGUCCUGGACUUUUAUUUGUAGGGAGUGAUUUUAUGACCUCUUCAAUUUCAUUUCUAGUGAUCGGUCUGUUCAGUUGGUCUGUUUCUGCUUGAUUCAGUUUUGGCAGGCUGUAAGAUUCUAGAAAAUUGUCCAUUUCUUCCAGAUUGUCAAACUUGUUGCCAUACAGUUGUUCAUAGUAUUCUCUUAGGGUUUUUUGUAUUUCUGCUGUAUCCGUUGUGAUUUCUCCUUUUUCAUUUAUAAUUUUGGUUAUUUGGGUUCUUUCUCUCCUCUUUUUAGUGAGUCUGGCCAGGGGUUUGUCAAUUUUCUUCACCUUUUCAAAGAACCAGCUCUUGGUUUUAUUAAUUUUCUCUAUUGUUUUUUGAGUCUCUAUUUUAUUGAUUUCUUCUUUGAUCUUUAUAAUUUCCUUCCUUCUGCUGACUUUAGGACUUUUUUGUUCUUCUUUUUCUAAUUCGUUUAGGUGGAGGGUUAAGUUGUCCAUUUGGGAUCUUUCUUCUUUUUUGAGAAAGGCCUGGAUUGCUAUAAAUUUCCCUCUGAGCACUGCUUUCGCAGCAUCCCAUAGAUUUUGAGAGGUUGUGUCUUCAUUAUCAUUUGUUUCAAGGUAGUUUUUAAUUUCCUUCUUGAUUUCCUCAUUGACCCAUUGGUUUUUUAGUAGCAUGUUGUUUAGUCUCCAUGGAGUAGGUUUUUUUCUCUUUGCUUUUCCCGUGGUUGAUUUCCAAUUUCAUGGCAUUGUGGUCAGAGAAGAUACUUGAGAUAAUUUCUAUGCUCCUAAAUUUAUUGAGAUUCGCUUUGUGUCCCAAUAUGUAGUCGAUUCUUGAGAAUGUUCCAUGAGCAUUUGAGAAGAAUGUGUAUUCUGCUUUUUUUGGAUGUAGUGUCCUGAAGAUAUCAAUUAAGUCUAACUUUUCUAUUGUUUCCUUUAGGAUCUCUGUUGCUUUAUUGGUUUUCUGUCUAGAGGAUCUGUCCAUUGAUGUGAGGGGGGUAUUUAGGUCUCCUACUAUGAUUGUAUUCUCAUCAAUAUCUCCCUUUAUGUCUGUUAAUAUUUGUUGUAUGUAUCUGGGUGCUCCUAUAUUUGGGGCAUAUAUGUUGACGAUAGUAACAUCCUCUCCUUGGAUGGAUCCCUUAAUCAUUAAGUAGUGUCCUUCUUUGUCUUUCUUUAUGUCCUUUGUUUUAAAGUCUAUUUUGUCUGAUAUGAGCGUUGUGACUCCUGCUUUUCUGUCAUGUCUAUUGGCGUGAAAUAUUUUUCCCCACCGUUUCACUUUCAAUCUAUAUGUAUCUUUUGUCCUAAGGUGAGUUUCUUGUAGGCAGCAUAUUGAAGGCUUUUGCCUUUUUAUCCACUCAGCCACUCUGUGUCUUUUGAUUGGGGCAUUCAGUCCAUUGACAUUUAAGGUGAUAAUUGAUAGAUGAUUAUUUAUUGCCAUUUGAACCUCGUGUUCCAGUUGAUUCUAUGGUUCUCCAUUUCUUUUUUUUUUUUUUUGGUUGGAUGGUCUCCUGUUAUUAUCUGCUUGAGUGUUUUUUUUUUUUCAUUUUUUGCAAAUGCAAUAUUUGGUUUUGGCUUGUGGUUGCCCUGUUUUUUAAGUAUGCUAACCCCUUCCCAUAAUUGUGUGUUUUAGCCUGAUGGUCCUGUAAGUUCAAACACUUCAUUACUAUAUUACUAUUUGUUUAUAUGUAAGAGAGACAUACAUAUAAACAAAAAGGGUUAUUUACCUCCUGACAUCCCUUGCCCACAUUUUAUGGUUUUGAUGACUCUUUUUUAUUUUUUUCUUUUUAAUUUUAUUUUGUUUGAAGCAUGUUCAUGAUUAAAUCUGUAUGCUGGCUUGUUUGAGUGACUUCUCUCUGAUUGCAGUUUCCUCAGUCCUAGUUCUUCCUCUUCUUCUUUUUUUUUUUUUCUUUUCUUUUUUCUUCCCUUUCCUUCCUUUCUUUUUGGUUUAGAGAAGCCCUUUCAAUAUUUCCUUUAACCUGGGUUUUGUGUUGCUGUAUUCUUUAAGUUCUUGUUUGUUGGGAAAAAUUUUUAUUUCCCCUUCUAUUUUAAAUGAUAUUCUUGCUGGAUAAAGUAUUCUAGGUUGCAUAUUUUUUCCUUUUAGCACUUUAAAUAUCUCUUGCCAUUCCCUCCUGGCCUGUAGUGUUUCUGUAGAGAAAUCAGCUGAUAUUCUUAUGGGGGUUCCCUUGUAGGUAACAUUCUGUUUUUCUCUUGCUGCCUUUAGGAUCCUCUCUUUAUCACUAACUUUUGCCAUUUUUAUUAUGAUGUGUCUUGGUGUGGGUCUGUUUGGGUUCAGUUUGUUUGGGGCCCUCUGUGCUUCUUGUAUCUUGAAUCCAGUAUCCUUUAGAUUUGGGAAGUUUCCAGCGAUAAUUUCUUCAAAUAUAUUUUCCAUCCCCUUAUCUUUUUCUACUCCUUCUGGAAUUCCUAUUAUGCGUAGAUUGGCCCGCUUUAUAUUAUCCCAUAGGUCUCUUAUAUUGCUUUCCAGUUUUUUGAUUUGGUUUUCUGUCUGUUGACCAGAUUGAGUGAUUUCCAUUAUUCUAUCUUCCAUAUCACUGAUUCGUUCUUCUGCAUUAUUCAUUCUGGUUUUUACUGCCCCUAGUUCAGUUUGCAUCUCUGCAAAUGAAUGUUCUAGUUUUUCUUGGCUCCUCCUCAAAGUGACUCUUAACUUCAUAAAAAUAGUGCAAUUUUAUGCGUCACUGCCACUUAGAAAGCAUUCUUGCUAAAAACAAACAAACAAAAACCAAUCUAAAUUUGAUCAUAUAUAAACCUAACUAGAACUUUACAGGAAUGCAGGGAACAGAAUAGUUUAUUAAUCAUGCGUUAAUCAUGAGAUACAGUCAGCAAAUUUCAGACUAUAAGAAAUGCUACAGGACGAAUGAGCUGAUGUUUUAAAUAAAUGAAUUUCAAGGAAAGAGAAAGGGAAGAAAACCAGUUGUUUAGAAUAGAGAUAAGCAGAUGCAAUAGAUCUUAUUGAUCUUAAUUAAAAUAAUCAUUUAAAAAUGUAUGAGACAAUCAGAUAAUUUGAUGGUUUAAGGCAAUUAUUGCUAACAUUCUAACAUAUUGUGAUAUUGUGAUUGUGUUUAAAAUUUAAGAAAAAUCCUUAUCUUUUAGAGAUAACAUGUUAAAAUGAUAGCUAACCUAGGGCAAGGCAUAAAUAAAGUUGGCCCUGUAUUAGUGAUGGUAGCAACUGAGUAAUGGGCAUAUGCGAGUUCUUUGUAUUAUUCUCCUUUUGUACAUAUUUGAACUUUGCCAUUGUAAAGUAUAUUAAAAAAAAAGUGUUAAAACUACUGAAUGUUAAUCCUUGAGGGCUCUUAGCUCUUGGACAAAAAUGCCUACUUUCUCCGUACUCUGGUGCUCCUUAUUGGUGAAUCAGAGCAGUUGAACCUGGCUGUACAUAUUUGUAAAUGAAUUGCCUACAUGGGGUGAGAAAAAUGAAAUGUGUGUGUGUGUGUGUGUGUGUGUGUGUGUGU